AUAACGCUAACGGCAGCUUAACACAUGCAAUUCGGGGGUAUAUGUCUUCGGAUAUAGAGACCGGCGCACGGGUGCGUAACGCGUAUGCAAUCUACCUUUUACAGAGGGAUAGCCCAGAGAAAUUUGGAUUAAUACCUCAUAGUAUAGCUCUACCGCAUGGUAGUACUAUUAAAGUCACAACGGUAAAAGAUGAGCAUGCGUCCCAUUAGCUAGUUGGUAAGGUAACGGCUUACCAAGGCAACGAUGGGUAGGGGUCCUGAGAGGGAGAUCCCCCACACUGGUACUGAGACACGGACCAGACUCCUACGGGAGGCAGCAGUGAGGAAUAUUGGACAAUGGGCGCAAGCCUGAUCCAGCCAUGCCGCGUGCAGGAUGACGGUCCUAUGGAUUGUAAACUGCUUUUGUACGAGAAGAAACACUGCUUCGUGAAGCAGCUUGACGGUAUYGUAAGAAUAAGGAUCGGCUAACUCCGUGCCAGCARCCGCGGUAAUACGGAGGAUCCAAGCGUUAUCCGGAAUCAUUGGGUUUAAAGGGUCCGUARGCGGUUUARUAAGUCAGUGGUGAAAGCCCAUCGCUCAACGGUGGAACGGCCAUUGAUACUGYUGAACUUGAAUUAUUAGGAAGUAACUAGAAUAUGUAGUGUAGCGGUGAAAUGCUUAGAGAUUACAUGGAAUACCAAUUGCGAAGGCAGGUUACUACUAAUUGAUUGACGCUGAUGGACGAAAGCGUGGGGAGCGAACAGGAUUAGAUACCCUGGUAGUCCCACGCCGUAAACGAUGGAUACUAGCUGUUGGGAGCAAUCUCAGUGGCUAAGCGAAAGUGAUAAGUAUCCCACCUGGGGAGUACGUUCGCAAGAAUGAAACUCAAAGGAAUUGACGGGGGCCCGCACAAGCGGUGGAGCAUGUGGUUUAAUUCGAUGAUACGCGAGGAACCUUACCAAGGCUUAAAUGUAGAUUGACCGGUUUGGAAACAGAUCUUUCGCAAGACAAUUUACAAGGUGCUGCAUGGUUGUCGUCAGCUCGUGCCGUGAGGUGUCAGGUUAAGUCCUAUAACGAGCGCAACCCCUGUUGUUAGUUGCCAGCGAGUCAAGUCGGGAACUCUAACAAGACUGCCAGUGCAAACUGUGAGGAAGGUGGGGAUGACGUCAAAUCAUCACGGCCCUUACGCCUUGGGCUACACACGUGCUACAAUGGCCGGUACAGAGAGCAGCCACUGGGCGACCAGGAGCGAAUCUAUAAAACCGGUCACAGUUCGGAUCGGAGUCUGCAACUCGACUCCGUAAGCUGGAAUCGCUAGUC
rnacentral:rRNA from 1 species